rnacentral:tRNA from 1 species
GGUAAAGUUUAGCAUUUGGUUGCUUUUUAAUCUCAUCAGUUAACUCAUAAAGGUUCGAAUCCUUUCUUUACAA